rnacentral:lncRNA from 1 species
GAGCACCUGAGAUCUGGAAGCAGGAAAAAUGGCAAAAGUCCCCAAGUGAUGGUGGAAACGCUCGAAGAGUGGCAGUAGCAUAGGAGAAAGGUACAGGCAGCUUUAAAGCAACAAACAAAACAACAGUAGACAAUGACCAGGAAAUAUGGUGAGAAGAGUCAUCGGAAGAAAAGAAAGGCAAAACUGCCAAGCAAACAAAUGAUUCUCCUCAUUCAUUGAUUCAACAAACACUUCCUAAGCUCCUCAAGGGGCCAGGGCCCAAGGCAGGCAUGAAGUAGCACUGAGCACACAGACAAGCAGGACACAGGCUGGGAAAUAUCAAUUAAGUUAAGCGCAGAGCAUCAUAAGGACCUUACUUUUCAAAAUCCAUGCUGGUGAACUUGACCUCUUUGAUACUUUAGGAUUGAUAUUACAAUCUCAAGAGGUAUCACGGAAUAUUGAGGUUUGUUCU